rnacentral:lncRNA from 1 species
UUUUAAAAUACUCUAAAAGCUGCCAUGACACUUGGAAAUUUUCUGUAUGAGAAUGACUGAUCUAUUUCAUUUUGUCCCAUCAAGUAAAUUCUCUGAUAUCUGAACUGCUUUUAAUCCAACAAGGUUAGCAUCUCCAUAAGGACCAGAGUUCAUGAUUUGGAGAAAGCAAGUCAUCAAGUGACUCCCGGAGAACAAACUAGCAGAAGGUGGAUGUGAUUGAUAAUUCAGAGAUGGACUAUCAGCUUAAUGGACAGGUAC